ACCACUUCUCAGCCUUUUGGCUAAGAUUGAGUACUUGUUCUUAUUAGUCUAAUAGCUGAUAAGUUCUCUACUUGAGAACAAUAUACUAAAGGGAUUUUUGAAGUGAGAUGGAUUAUGAGCUUGUUUCAUUCUCUCCACACGUCAAUCUAAUUUUGUAGUAACUAUGAAUGAUGCUCCCCUC
rnacentral:snRNA from 1 species